CUGGUAGCCUUGGGGGAGUUCCUAACCUCUCGAAACCUCAGUUUUCCCAACUGUCAAAUGGAGACGAUGCACAGAGAAACUUCCUUCUUAAGCAGUUGUGAAGAAAAGAAAUCAAUGUGUGUGAAGCCAGAGCCAUGGCACUAUCUGCCUGGCUAAGGGGGCUGGAGCUGCAAGGUCAGCAAGUGUGUGGAAUGGGGCCUGGUUUUGGAGGCCAAGGGCACCAGGCCCCAUACACCAUCUGUCCACUGAUGGGGCCUCUCCUGUGGCAGUGACCACAGUCACACUGUGGAAACCACACACAUGGCCACAGAGGGAUGGUCUGAGCAGAACCACUCGUCCCCUUCAAAGUCUGGGCCCCACACCCACCUGCAGAGGAGUGACCCAUGCAGACCCUGGUCCUGCCCCUGGGAGAGCAAGGCCCAGAAAGGGGAGAAGUGGCCCAAAACAGAAGCCAACAGGAGCCGCCAAAGGGGCGCUAAUAGGACAGAGUUGGUGG
rnacentral:lncRNA from 1 species